rnacentral:rRNA from 1 species
CAGCCGCCGCGGUAAUACGUAGGGGGCGAGCGUUGUCCGGAAUUAUUGUGCGUAAAGCGCGCGCAGGCGGUCCUUUAAGUCUGAUGUGAAAGCCCACGGCUCAACCGUGGAGGGUCAUUGGAAACUGGGGGACUUGAGUGCAGGAGAGGAGAGCGGAAUUCCACGUGUAGCGGUGAAAUGCGUAGAGAUGUGGAGGAACACCAGUGGCGAAGGCGGCUCUCUGGCCUGUAACUGACGCUGAGGCGCGAAAGCGUGGGGAGCAAACAGGAUUAGAUACCCUGGUAGUCCACGCCGUAAACGAUGAGUGCUAAGUGUUAGAGGGGUCACACCCUUUAGUGCUGCAGCUAACGCGAUAAGCACUCCGCCUGGGGAGUACGGCCGCAAGGCUGAAACUUAAAGGAAUUGGCGGG